AUGAGGAGUAAGCCGAAAUCUUGUCUUGGUGGUUUUGUUUGGGCCCUACAGAUUUGGAUGUGGAAGCGUAUCCCUGUGGGUCGUAACUUCACCAUUGCUCCGGAAGAACCUUGGGAGUGGCCUUUUGACGGGGAUGAGGAGCGAUAUCCCACUAUCACAUACACGUGGGCUAAUGUCCAAGUGUCGAGUAUCGCCGCCAUGGGGCGGUACAAGGCAUACAUAAGCGAUCUUCACAUGCUUACUUACAACCAGGUAAUUAUCAAAUGCCUUGCCAUCAUUACAGAUUUUUUUUGUUGUGCAUGA
rnacentral:rRNA from 1 species